AUACUGUAUUGCUAUGCAGUUCAUGCAUCAUCUGUUACUCUUUGUCUAUACAGUAUAUAAAUGCUAUAUAUAUUGUUACUUAAUUGUACUACCAGUUCAACGUCUGUCACUCUUGCCCUAAUAUACAAAUGGUAUAUAUCUUGUUACUUGAUUGUAUUCCCAUGCUGUUCAUCAUCUGUUACUCUUUGCCUAUAUACAAAUGCUAUAUAUAUUGUUACUUAGUUGUAUUACCUCACUGUAAAUUUCCAAAGGAAUCAACUGGAAAAGUGGUCACCAAAAACGGUGACGGAAUAACUUUUUUGCAGUUGAUUCAAUUCUUUGAAAUUUCC
rnacentral:lncRNA from 1 species